GGGCGUGAGGGAAUACGCUUUUCGGAGGUGUAACCUUCUGUCAGUGGGACGAAACAAUGACGGGUACCACAAAGGGAGCACCGGCUUACUCCGUGCAAGCAGCCGCGGUAAGACGGAGGGUGCAAGCGUUGUCCGGAAUUAUUGGGCGUAAAGCGUUCGUAGGCGGUAUGCCAAGUCUGAUGUUAAAGCCUGGAGCUCAACUCCAGUUCGGCAUUGGAUACUGGUAAACUAGAGUACAGAAGAGGCAAGGGGAAUUCCUAGUGUAGCGGUGAGAUGCGUAGAUAUUAGGAGGAACACCAGCUGCGUAAGCGCCUUGCUGGGCUGUUACUGACGCUGAGGGACGAAAGCCAGGGUAGCGAAUGGGAUUAGAUACCCCAGUAGUCCUGGCCGUAAACGAUGGAUACUAGGUGUCGCGGGUAUCGACCCCUGCGGUGCUGCAGUUAACGCAGUAAGUAUCCCGCCUGGGGAGUACGCACGCAAGUGUGAAACUCAAAGGAAUUGACGGGGACCCGCACAAGCGGUGGAACAUGUGGUUUAAUUCGAAGCAACGCGAAGAACCUUACCAGGACUUGACAUCUGAAGAAUCUUCCAGAAAUGGAGGAGUGCCUUCGGGAACUUCAAGACAGGUGGUGCACGGUUGUCGUCAGCUCGUGUCGUGAGAUGUUGGGUUAAGUCCCGCAACGAGC
rnacentral:rRNA from 1 species